rnacentral:rRNA from 1 species
GACGAACGCUGGCGGCGUGCUUAACACAUGCAAGUCGAACGGAAAGGCCCUGCUUUUGUGGGGUGCUCGAGUGGCGAACGGGUGCGUAACACGUGAGUAACCUGCCCUUGACUUUGGGAUAACUUCAGGAAACUGGGGCUAAUACCGGAUAGGAGCUCCUGCUGCAUGGUGGGGGUUGGAAAGUUUCGGCGGUUGGGGAUGGACUCGCGGCUUAUCAGCUUGUUGGUGGGGUAGUGGCUUACCAAGGCUUUGACGGGUAGCCGGCCUGAGAGGGUGACCGGCGACAAUGGGACUGAGAUACGGACCAGACGCCUACGGGAGGCAGAAGGGGGGAAUAUUGCACAAUGGGCGGAAGCCUGAUGCAGAAACGCCGCGGGCGGGAUGACGGCCUUCGGGGUGUAAACCGCUGUCGCCUGUGACGAAGCGUGAGUGACGGUAAUGGGUAAAGAAGCACCGGCUAACUACGUG